AUUGAACGCUGGCGGCAGGCCUAACACAUGCAAGUCGAACGGUAACAGGAAGCAGCUUGCUGCUUUGCUGACGAGUGGCGGACGGGUGAGUAAUGUCUGGGAAACUGCCUGAUGGAGGGGGAUAACUACUGGAAACGGUAGCUAAUACCGCAUAACGUCGCAAGACCAAAGAGGGGGACCUUCGGGCCUCUUGCCAUCGGAUGUGACCAGAUGGGGUUAGCGAGUAGGUGGGGUAACGGCUCACCUAGGCGACGAUCCCUAGCUGGUCUGAGAGGAUGACCAGCCACACUGGAACUGAGACACGGUCCAGACUCCUACGGGAGGCAGCAGUGGGGAAUAUUGCACAAUGGGCGCAAGCCUGAUGCAGCCAUGCCGCGUGUAUGAAGAAGGCCUUCGGGUUGUAAAGUACUUUCAGCGGGGAGGAAGGGAGUAAAGUUAAUACCUUUGCUCAUUGACGUUACCCGCAGAAGAAGCACCGGCUAACUCCGUG
rnacentral:rRNA from 1 species